GACUCCAGUGCGUAACUGGUACUUAAUUUAUCGACCCCGAAAGGAUGAAAGGGAAAGUCGACCUCGGCGGAAUUUGAACUCAUAACGUAACGCCAGACGAAAUACCGCUAAGCAAUUCGACCGGCGUGCUGACGCUUCUACCAGCUUGGUAAGC